CAGAGGGUGCGAGCGUUGUUCGGAAUUACUGGGCGUAAAGCGCGCGCAGGCGGCUUCCUAAGUCCGUAGGUGAAAGACCGGGGCUCAACCCCGCGUCAGCCAUGGAUACUGGGAGGCUGGAGACAGGUAGAGGCAAGCGGAAUUCCGGGUGUAGCGGUGGAAUGCGUAGAGAUCCGGAAGAACACCGGAGGCGAAGGCGGCUUGCUGGACCUGGUCUGACGCUGAGGCGCGAAAGCGUGGGGAGCGAACAGGAUUAGAUACCCUGGUAGUCCACGCCGUAAACGAUGGGCACUAGACGCUGGUGGGAUCGACCCCUUCAGUGUCGAAGCUAACGCGAUAAGUGCCCCGCCUGGGGAGUACGGCCGCAAGGCUG
rnacentral:rRNA from 1 species